GGGGAAUUUUGGACAAUGGGCGCAAGCCUGAUCCAGCAAUGCCGCGUGCAGGAUGAAGGCCUUCGGGUUGUAAACUGCUUUUGUACGGAACGAAAAGCCUCUCUCUAAUACAGGGGGGUGAUGACGGUACCGUAAGAAUAAGCACCGGCUAACUACGUGCCAGCAGCCGCGGUAAUACGUAGGGUGCAAGCGUUAAUCGGAAUUACUGGGCGUAAAGCGUGCGCAGGCGGUUUUGUAAGACAGUGGUGAAAUCCCGGGGCUCAACCUCGGAACUGCCUUUGAUACUGGAAGUCUUGAGUCCGAGAGAGGUGAGUGGAACUCCGAGUGUAGAGGUGAAAUUCGUAGAUAUUCGGAAGAACACCAGUGGCGAAGGCGGCUCACUGGCUCGGUACUGACGCUGAGGUGCGAAAGCGUGGGGAGCAAACA
rnacentral:rRNA from 1 species